rnacentral:ncRNA from 1 species
CCCUCCGAGGAGCGCUGCGAGGGUCUGUCCGCUGACACCCCCAGGCUCGGUAAAGCAACAACGGCGCUCACUUGUC